rnacentral:tRNA from 1 species
GGUAAAAUGGCUGACUAAUAGGCGGUAGAUUGUAAAUCUUCUUAUGGGAGAGCCCCCCUUUUAUCA